rnacentral:lncRNA from 1 species
GGUCAUUUACGGGCCGAAGAUUUCUGACUUUGGGUCUUUUCGCAUCUGGCCCAUUUAACUACAUCCAGCCCAUUAGUCGAAUCCAGUAUGUCACUUGGACAAGUGACAAAUACAGAGCAAAUCAGAGAUCACAGAUUCUGAUAUUCUAUACACACAUGAAUGUGCAGUAAUACAAAGAGUGCAGAUGGUACAAAUGUUCACUUGCUGUAGGUAUAUGGCUGGUUAAAACAGAAGCUAGUGAGAGAGCUUGAAGGAGAUGAUGAGUAUGAUUGCAAACACGAGGGCAGCAAUUACGGAGCCUACGAUCCACUUGUUCCUGGAUAUCCUCCGCGACAUGGAUGU